UGAGGAAUAUUGGUCAAUGGGCGGGGAGCCUGAACCAGCCAAGCCGCGUGAGGGAAGACGGUCCUAUGGAUUGUAAACCUCUUUUGUCGGGGAGCAAAGAGGCCACGUGUGGUCAAAAGCGAGAGUACCCGAAGAAAAAGCAUCGGCUAACUCCGUGCC
rnacentral:rRNA from 1 species